rnacentral:rRNA from 1 species
AGCUCCAAUAGCGUAUCUUAAAGUUGCUGCAGUUAAAAAGCUCGUAGUUGGAUCUCGGGACGCGAGCUGACGGUCCGCCGCGAGGCGUGCCUACCGUCUGUCCCGGCCCCUGCCUCUCGGCCAGCCCCCGGGAUGCCCUUGGCUGGGUGUCCCGCCCGGGGCCCGAAGCGUUUACUUUGAGAAAAUUGGAGUGUUCAAAGCAGGCCCGCAGCCGCCCCUGCACAGCGCAGCUAGGAAUGAUGGAAUAGGACCCCGGUUCUAUUUUGUGGGUUUUCCCUCCUGAACUGGGGCCAUGAUUGAGAGGGACGGCCGGGGGCAUUCGUAUUGUGCCGCUAGAGGUGAAAUUCUUGGACCGGCGCAAGACGGACCAGAGCGAAAGCAUUUGCCAAGAAUGUUUUCA